rnacentral:rRNA from 1 species
UACGUAGGGUGCAAGCGUUGUCCGGAAUUAUUGGGCGUAAAGAGCUCGUAGGCGGUGUGUCGCGUCGGCCGUGAAAAACUUGGGGGCUUAACUCUGAGCGUGCGGUCGAUACGGGCAUCACUUGAGUUCGGCAGGGGAGACUGGAAUUCCUGGUGUAGCGGUGAAAUGCGCAGAUAUCAGGAGGAACACCGGGUGGCGAAGGCGGUUGGCUGGGCCACAACUGGACACUGAGUGCG